AUAGCUGGGAUAUCCAAGACAACAAACUAAACAAAGAAGACGAAAGCAAAGCAGUUGUAUUUUGCUACACAAUAUGCUUUACUAUUCCAC